GAUGAACGCUGGCGGCGUGCCUAAUACAUGCAAGUCGAGCGAACAGAUGAGGAGCUUGCUCCUCUGACGUUAGCGGCGGACGGGUGAGUAACACGUGGAUAACCUACCUAUAAGACUGGGAUAACUACGGGAAACCGGAGCUAAUACCGGAUAAUAUAUUGAACCGCAUGGUUCAAUAGUGAAAGACGGUUUUGCUGUCACUUAUAGAUGGAUCCGCGCCGCAUUAGCUAGUUGGUAAGGUAACGGCUUACCAAGGCAACGAUGCGUAGCCGACCUGAGAGGGUGAUCGGCCACACUGGAACUGAGACACGGUCCAGACUCCUACGGGAGGCAGCAGUAGGGAAUCUUCCGCAAAGGGCGAAAGCCUGACGGAGCAACGCCGCGUGAGUGAUGAAGGUCUUCGGAUCGUAAAACUCUGUUAUUAGGGAAGAACAAAUGUGUAAGUAACUAUGCACGUCUUGACGGUACCUAAUCAGAAAGCCACGGCUAACUACGUG
rnacentral:rRNA from 1 species